rnacentral:rRNA from 1 species
UACGUAGGGUGCGAGCGUUAAUCGGAAUUACUGGGCGUAAAGCGUGCGCAGGCGGCGGCUCAAGUCAGGUGUGAAAUCCCCGGGCUUAACCUGGGAAUUGCGCUUGAAACUAGGUCGCUAGAGUGUGGCAGAGGGGGGUGGAAUUCCACGUGUAGCAGUGAAAUGCGUAGAGAUGUGGAGGAACACCGAUGGCGAAGGCAGCCCCCUGGGACAACACUGACGCUCAUGCACGAAAGCGUGGGGAGCAAACAGG